rnacentral:tRNA from 1 species
GUUCUCGUGAUGUAGAGGUAACAUGACAGACUUCGAAUCUGUAAUCCGGGGUUCGAUUCCCCGCGGGAAUU